AUACGAAGGGGGCUAGCGUGCUCGGAAUCACUGGGCGUAAAGGGCGCGUAGGCGGCUUGCCAAGUCGGGGGUGAAAGCCCGUGGCUCAACCACGGAAUGGCCUUCGAUACUGGCAGGCUUGAGACCGGAAGAGGACAGCGGAACUGCGAGUGUAGAGGUGAAAUUCGUAGAUAUUCGCAAGAACACCAGUGGCGAAGGCGGCUGUCUGGUCCGGUUCUGACGCUGAGGCGCGAAAGCGUGGGGAGCAAACAGGAUUAGAUACCCUGGUAGUCAAGGGCG
rnacentral:rRNA from 1 species